CCUACGGGCGGCAGCAGUGAGGAAUAUUGAUCAAUGGGCGGAAGCCUGAACCAGCCAAGUAGCGUGCGGGAUGAAGGCCCUACGGGUUGUAAACCGCUUUUGCACGGGGAUAACACCCUCCACUUGUGGAGGUCUGCAGGUACCGUGCGAAUAAGGGCCGGCUAAUUCCGUGCCAGCAGCCGCGGUAAUACGGAGGGCUCGAGCGUUAUCCGGAUUUAUUGGGCUUAAAGGGAGCGUAGGCGGGCGUUCAAGUCAGCUGUAAAAUCGCGCGGCUCAACCGCGCCCCGCAGUUGAUACUGGACGCCUAGAGUGCACAACAGGCAGGCGGAAUGCGUGGUGUAGCGGUGAAAUGCAUAGAGAUCA
rnacentral:rRNA from 1 species